CUCAUCUCAAGUCUUCAUGAACCAGGAAGAUGAACCGGGUAGCUCUAACCACGGGUGUUGGUUGUGGCCUUGGGUCUAUUUUGAGUGACGCUAAUAACUGUGACACGAUCCCCGAUUUUCGUGGAAUUCUAAAAACAUCCCGGAUUGGGCGUGUCUCUCUAAUCAACCAUAGUAUAAAUAUGAGGACAAACUUAACAGUUUUAUUCUUUUGUAUUUCCAUCUCGAGAAAGCUUCAACAGUCCAAUCCGAACAUGGCUAAAAUUGGUGUUGUCUUCCUUAUUGUUUUGAUAGCUGUGGUAUAUAAUGUUGAUGCUUGGUUUCUAACGCAAACGAAACCGAAAAGUUGGAAUUUAAAAAAUUGUUUCUGUAAAGCUGUAGAUAAUGACAACUCAGCUACAGUUCUUCAUGAUUUUCGUAAGAUCCAGGAAUGUAAAGGCUAUACCGAUACAUGUAAUUGUCGUGCAACAGAAAUGGUAACUUGUGGAACAGAAUGUGAACGUAGAGUGAAAGAAUGGACCAAGGAUCACUGUCCAACUAAUUUAAAAGGAAGAAAGGUUCGAGCCUCAUAUUCAGCUGGUGACUGUAAUCAGGGAGUCAGACAUCAGGUGUAUGAUUGUUGAAAAAUGUGUCAAUGUCCAUGUCAAGGUUAAACACACCUUGUAUAUGUUAUCGUCGAUUGUUUAUGGUCAAAACUAAUCUUGGUUUCGUCCAUUUAUCGCAAUAAUUGGUUUCAUGUAUAUCCAUUUGAAAGCCACAGCGAUGUUCUUAUAUGUAUACAAAUUUACGUUUUUUGAUUAAUAACAGAUUAUUUUUAAAACAAGA